rnacentral:rRNA from 1 species
GACGAACGCUGGCGGCGUGCCUAAUACAUGCAAGUUGAGCGCUGAAGGUUGGUACUUGUCCCAACUGGAUGAGCAGCGAACGGGUGAGUAACGCGUGGGGAAUCUGCCUUUGAGCGGGGGACAACAUUUGGAAACGAAUGCUAAUACCGCAUAAAAACUUUAAACACAAGUUUUAAGUUUGAAAGAUGCAAUUGCAUCACUCAAAGAUGAUCCCGCGUUGUAUUAGCUAGUUGGUGAGGUAAAGGCUCACCAAGGCGAUGAUACAUAGCCGACCUGAGAGGGUGAACGGCCACAAUGGGACUGAGACCCGGCCCAAACCCCUAAGGGAGGCAGCAAGAAGGAAACUUCGGGAAAGGACGAAAGGCUGACCGAGGAACGCCGGCGGAGGGGAGAAGGGUGUCGGGUCGUAAAAAUCUGUUGGUAGAGAAGAAAGUUGGUGAGAGUGGAAAGCUCAUCAAGUGACGGUAACUACCCAGAAAGGGACGGCUAACUACGUG